rnacentral:rRNA from 1 species
UACGGAGGGAGCUAGCGUUGUUCGGAAUCACUGGGCGUAAAGCGCACGUAGGCGGAUGUGUCAGUCAGGGGUGAAAUCCCGGAGCUCAACUUCGGAACUGCCUUUGAUACAGCACGUCUUGAGUCCGAUAGAGGUGGGUGGAAUUCCUAGUGUAGAGGUGAAAUUCGUAGAUAUUAGGAAGAACACCGGUGGCGAAGGCGGCCCACUGGAUCGGUACUGACGCUGAGGUGCGAAAGCGUGGGGAGCAAGCAGG